rnacentral:rRNA from 1 species
GACGAACGCUGGCGGCGUGCUUAACACAUGCGAGUCGAACGGAAAGGCCCUGCUUUUGUGGGGUGCUCGAGUGGCGAACGGGUGAGUAACACGUGAGUAACCUGCCCUUGACUUUGGGAUAACUUCAGGAAACUGGGGCUAAUACCGGAUAGGAGCUCCUGCUGCAUGGUGGGGGUUGGAAAGUUUCGGCGGUUGGGGAUGGACUCGCGGCUUAUCAGCUUGUUGGUGGGGUAGUGGCUUACCAAGGCUUUGACGGGUAGCCGGCCUGAGAGGGUGACCGGCGUCAUUGGGACUGAGAGACGGCCCAGACUCCUACGGGAGGCAGCAGUGGGGAAUAUUGCACAGUGGGCGGGGGCCUGAUGCAGCAACGCCGCGUGCGGGAUGACGGCCUUCGGGUUGUAAACCGCUUUCGCCUGUGACGAAGCGUGAGUGACGGUAAUGGGUAAAGAAGCACCGGCUAACUACGUG